rnacentral:rRNA from 1 species
AGGGCACCACCAGGAGUGGAGCCUGCGGCUUAAUUUGACUCAACACGGGGAAACUCACCCGGCCCGGACACCGUAAGGAUUGACAGAUUGAUAGCUCUUUCAUGAUUCGGUGGUUGGUGGUGCAUGGCCGUUCUUAGUCCGUGGAUCGAUUUGUCUGGUUUAUUCCGAUAACGAGCGAGACUCUAGCCUACUAAAUAGUAACGAGAUUAUCAAUGUCUCAGUUGCUUCUUAGAGGGAUUUUCGGUGUUUAGCCGCACGAGAUUGAGCAAUAACAGGUCUGUGAUGCCCUUAGAUGUCCGGGGCUGCACGCGCGCUACACUGGCGAAAUCAGUGUGCUGUAUCCAUUCUCGAAAGGGAUUGGUAAACCCAUGAAAAUUUGCCGUGCUUGGGAUCGGAAAUUGCAAUUAUUUUCCGUGAACGAGGAAUUCCAAGUAAGUGCGAGUCAUCAACUCGCUCUGAUUACGUCCCUGCCCUUUGUACACACCGCCCGUCGCUGCCCGGGACUGAGCCAUUUCGAGA